rnacentral:lncRNA from 1 species
GAGAAUCGCUGGAAUCCAGGAGGCAGAGGUUGCAGUGAGCCAAGAUUGUGCCACUGUACUCCAGCCUGGGCGACAGAGCAAGACUGUGUCUCAAAAACAAAGAAAACAAAAUUACUUACACACACAUUGUACUGGUCCUUAACAUGUUUUUGAAGAAGUGAACAGGUGAGGAGGGAGGGGAAUAAAGAGAUUCACUGGAGAGUGAUGGCACAGUUACACACAGGUGUUUAGCACCCUCGCUAUUUCUACAACUGAAACUGGCAGUCAAAGAAUCUCCAAAACCCUAACUCUAUUUAUUUUAGUCUGAAGCAGUGAAUAAGUUUUCCACAUCCCAGUGUUUAUAUGUACGUUCUAGAUCUCUGUUCCAUUUAGGAUCUUAAAAUUCUAAUUAAGCCCAUAAAG